rnacentral:rRNA from 1 species
UACGGAGGGGGCUAGCGUUGUUCGGAAUUACUGGGCGUAAAGCGCGCGUAGGCGGACCUGCAAGUCGGGGGUGAAAGCCCGAGGCUCAACCUCGGAACUGCCUUCGAUACUGCGGGUCUCGAGUCCGGGAGAGGUGAGUGGAAUUCCUAGUGUAGAGGUGAAAUUCGUAGAUAUUCGGAAGAACACCAGUGGCGAAGGCGGCUCACUGGCCCGGUACUGACGCUGAGGCGCGAAGGCGUGGGGAGCGAACGGG